rnacentral:rRNA from 1 species
UACGUAGGGUGCGAGCGUUGUCCGGAAUUAUUGGGCGUAAAGGGCUCGUAGGCGGUUUGUCGCGUCGGGAGUGAAACCUCGGGCUUAACUCGGGGCUUGCUUCGAUACGGGCAGACUAGAGGUAUGCAGGGGAGAACGGAAUUCCUGGUGUAGCGGUGAAAUGCGCAGAUAUCAGGAGGAACACCGGUGGCGAAGGCGGUCUCUGGGCAUGAUCUGACGCUGAGGAGCGAAAGUGUGGGGAGCGAACAGG